rnacentral:snRNA from 1 species
AAAAUGAGCAGAACCAGGAGACCAUUGUACAUAGUAACUGAAAUAUUGUGAGAUGAUUGUGACUGGCUAGGUGGGUGUCCCCUUUCUUCCUCACCACUCCAUGUGUAUCCCUCCUGAAUCUGGGUGCUCGAUCAAAGAGGACAACCUUCCCUGAUAGAGGUGUACCAUUUUUGGGUCAAGGGUAUCUGAUUAGUAGUGCUUCCCUGCUAGAACAAGCUCCCAAGGUCCAUUUGUAAAAUGAGCUGGAGAAGAAAAUGGCAAAUCGCUCCAGCCUCUCU